rnacentral:rRNA from 1 species
CCCUUAGAUGUUCUGGGCUGCACGCGCGCUACACUGACGCACGCAACAGGUGCCUGCUCCGAGAGGACUGGGUAAUCAUUUGAGUGUGCGUCGUGAUGGGGAUAGAAUAUUGUAAUUAUUACUCUUCAACGAGGAAUUCCUAGUAAGCGCCAGCCAGCAGCUUGCGCUGAUUACGUCCCUGCCCUUUGUACACACCGCCCGUCGCUCCUACCGAUGGGUGAUCCGGUGAAUGAUUCGGACUUCAGCGGCUCCCCUGGGGUGCGCCGGAGAAAGUUUUGUGAACCUUAUCACUUGGAGGAAGGAGAAGUCGUAACA